rnacentral:rRNA from 1 species
AACGAACGCUGGCGGCAUGCCUAACACAUGCAAGUCGAACGAGACCUUCGGGUCUAGUUGCGCACGGGUGCGUAACGCGUGGGAACCUGCCCUUAGGUUCGGAAUAACUCCCCGAAAGGGGUGCUAAUACCGGAUAAUGUCUUCGGACCAAAGAUUUAUCGCCUUUGGAUGGGCCCGCGUUGGAUUAGCUAGUUGGUAGGGUAAAAGCCUACCAGGGCGACGAUCCAUAGCUGGUCUGAGAGGAUGAUCAGCCACACUGGGACUGAGACACGGCCCAGACUCCUACGGGAGGCAGCAGUGGGGGAUAUUGGACAAUCGGCGAAAGCCUGAUCCAGCAAUGCCGCGUGAGUGAUGAAGGCCUUAGGGUUGUAAAGCUCUUUUACCCGGGAUGAUAAUGACAGUACCGGGAGAAUAAGCUCCGGCUAACUCCGUG